UACCCGCAGCUCAAGUGGUGGUCAUUAUUAUUGGGCCUAAAGCGUCCGUAGCUGGCCUGUUAGAUGCCUGGGUAAAUCGAUGCGCUCAACGUAUCGAAUUCCGGGUAGACCGGCAGGCUCGAGACCGGGAGAGGUGUAGGCUACUCGCGGGGUAGGGGUAAAAUCCUGUAAUCCUGCGGGGAGGACCAGUGGCGAAGGCGCUACACUAGAACGGCUCUGACAGUGAGGGACGAAGCCCUGGGGCGCAAACCGG
rnacentral:rRNA from 1 species